GGUGCUGGUUCACUCAUCUUCAACACAGAGCUUCCACAUUCCAAGCAAGUCAAGCUUGCCCUUCCUUCCUCCCUCAUCUCUCUAGAGGCAGUGGCCUAGCUGCACAUUCUCAUAAAGCAGCUCAGCGUGGGCUGCCAGCGAUCUAACAUCAGGAUGGAAGAAAACAGAGGCCUUAGAGGUUCGGCAUUUUCUGGAAUCUAAUGAUUCUGCUGAUUCUCCCGCGUUUAGCAAUAGCCGUUUCAAUUUCAGGAUGCUUAAAUCACUUCUUUGUUCUUUCUGGCAUGUAACUACAGCAUUACCCGUGUCUACAGCUGACCUCUACUUCAAAUGGUGCCGCUCUGUCCCUCAGGCUCUGAUGUAACUCCCUCCUCUCACUUCAGGGUAUGUGUCUAAGUCUGGGAUCCAAAACCUCUCCUUCUCUUUUGUAUUUACCGGUCUCCAACUUCCAGGUUGCUUCCAGGUUCACCGCCAAGUCACUCAGCAGGUUACUCCAAUGCUCAUUCAUUACCCAUUUAUUUACUGAAGGCCUGCCAUAUGCCAAGGAAAACAAUAGUGACCAAAAACUUAUCCCGGCUCUUUAGGACCUCAGAGUCUCGCCAGGAGGGGAAGACAAGCAAACAAGAUGUUUCGGAUUCUGCUGCUUCUGCAGUGUGGAUAUGGAGAGCCCUUCCUAAUGAACAGCCUGCACACAAACCUCUGUCUCAGAGUCAGCUUUUCGGGGAGCCCUACCCACAACACUGCUUGUGAAGUCAAUGUGCAGAGCCCUGCUGAAGGCAGAGAGAAGAUUGUCAUCGGCUGAGUCUGGUCAGGUAACUCACACCGUGAAGAACAGUGCCCAAGUCCUUAUUUAGAGAAUUAAGUUUGGUGCCACCUCACGGUCAACCACAACAUGUGUAUUGGGCCAUCAAAACAUCAGAGCAGGGGGACUGAAAAGGUGAUCCCUUCCCUUACAGGACCUGCCCUUCCUCAACCCAUCAGUCAGAUAUAGGUACAGCCACUUCUUAAAACCUUUAAAGGCCGGGCGCGGUGGCUCAAGCCUGUAAUCCCAGCACUUUGGGAGGCCGAGGCGGGUGGAU